GCAUAUCAAUAAGCGGAGGAAAAGAAAAUAACAAUGAUUCCCCUAGUAACUGCGAGUGAAGAGGGAUAAGCUCAAAUUUUAAAUCUGUUAGGUUCACCUGACCGAGUUGUAAUUUGAAGAAGCGUUUUCGCGCGUUUUGAUCAGCCGAAGUCCUAUUGAAUGAGGCAUCAUGGAGGGUGAUAAUCCCGUACGGUUGAUCAAUUGCGUAUGUGAUACGUUUUCAAAGAGUCAAGUUGUUUGGGAUUGCAGCUUAAAAUGGGAGGUAAAUUUCUCCUAAGGCUAAAUAUUGGCGAGAGACCGAUAGCGAACAAGUACCGUGAGGGAAAGAUGAAAAGUAUUUUGAAAAGAAAGUCAAAUAGUACGUGAAAUUGUUGAAAGGGAAACGAUUAAAGUCAGUCAUACCGAUGGGUAAUCAGCCUUUUGGGAGCGAUUAUGUGGUACGUGGAAAGAUUUCACGGUUGCAUAUUUGUGCCUUUUGGGUGUACUUGCUCGUAUGGUAGGUUAACAUCAAUUUCGGGCAUCAUAAAAUGGCGGGAGGAAUGUAGCUUCCCCGGAAGUGUUAUAGCCUCUGGUAGAUGUGAUGACCGGGAUUGAGGAUUGCAACGAAUACCCUCAGGGCUACCUGCCUGGCCUCUGGUCGUCGCUUUGGUGCCGAAAGCGUGCUUAUGGUAUCAAAGUAGGUGGUCAAAAGGUUAGAACGGGUUAAAUUCGUUAAGGAUGUUGACGUAAUGGCUUUAAACGAC
rnacentral:rRNA from 1 species